GCGCCCGUAGCUCAACCGGAUAGAGCAGCGGAUUUCUACUCCGCAGGUUGGGGGUUCGAUUCCCUCCGGGCGUAUGG
rnacentral:tRNA from 1 species